rnacentral:lncRNA from 1 species
GUAUUCUUGAUGAUUGCUAUUGUAACUGGAGUGAGAUGAAAUCAGUGCAAUUUUGAUUUGCAUUUCCCUGAUGGCUAAAGAUGUUGAACAUUUUUUUUCAUGUAGCUAUUGGCCAUUUGUACUUCUUGUUUUGAGAAAUGUCUGUUCAAUUCAUUGGCUCAUUUAUUGAAUGGGUUAUUUUUAUAUUUGUGUGUGGUUUGAAUUUUUGAGUUCUUUAUAUAUUCUGAAUAUUAGCCCUCUGUUGGAAGAAUAGCUGGCAAAGAUUUUCUCGGGGUUUACAGGCUCUUUUCACUAUGUUAAUUAUUUCUUUAGCUAUGCCAAAGCUUUUUUAUUUAGAUGCAAUCCCAUUUGUCCAUUCUUGCUAUUAUCUCCUGGGUAUUGGAGUCCUAUUUAGGAAGUUGUUGCCUGUGCCUAUGUAUUGAAGUGUUUUUCCUGUUUUCUUCUAAUGGUUGGAAAAUUUCUGGUGCUGCACCUUGAUAUUUGAUCAUUUUUGAAUUGAUUUUAUACUGGGUGACAGAUAGGGGUCUCAUUUCAUUCUUCUACAUAAAUGGACAGUCUUCUGAGCACCAUUUGUUAAAGAGGCUUUUUCUACACAAUAUAUUUUUGGCACCUUUGUCAAGCAUCAGAUGUCUAUAUCUGUGUGGGUUUGUUUCUUUGUCUUUGAUUUCAUUGAUCUAUGUGUCUAUUUGUAUGCCAGUGCCACAGUUUUAGUUACUGCAGAUUAGUAAAAUUGGAAGUUGGAUAUUGUGAUGUCUUCAACUUUGCUCUUUUUGUACAGGAUUGUUUUGAUUAUUCCGGGUAAUUUUUCUUCUGUGUGAAUUUUAGGAUUUUUUUUUCUAGUUCUAUGAUGACUAUUAUCGGUAUUUUGAUGGGUAUUGCAUUGUAUUUAUAGUUUGCUUUUUUAUAUGACCAUUUUAACAAUAUUAAUUUUGCCCAUCCAUGAGCAUUGGAAGUUUUUUCCAGUUUCUAGUAUAUUUUCAGUUUCCUUUUUCAGCAUUCUGUAUUUUUCCUCAUGUAGAUCUUUUACCUCAUUGGUUAGAUUAUUCCUAGGUUUUUAAAUUUUUUUAAGCCACUGUGAAUGGGACAGUUUUCUUGAUUUCUUUUUCAACAGAUUCGUUAUUGUUGAUUAGAAAAGCUAUUGAUUUCUAUGACCUCAUUUUAUAUCCUGCUGUAUUUUUUAAAUCAGCUCUAUCACUCUUCUGGUUUCAUCUGUAAACAGGGGUAAUUUGACUUCUUCCUUCCCUAUUUGUAUCCCUUUUAUUUAUUUGCCUUGCCUAAUUUCUCAGAUGAAAUUUUUAUGUACUUUAUUGAAUAGGAGUAGUGAGAGUGAACAUUCUUCUCUUAUUUCUGAUUUUAAAGGAAAUUCUUUCAGUUUUUUCCCCUCCAGUAUGAUGUUGGCUUUCAGUUUGUUGUAUAUACCCCUCAGUAUGUUUAUCUAAGUUCCUUCUAUCCCUACUACCUUUAGUUUCUUUUUAAUUUUGUCUAAGACUCUUUUUUUGCAUUUAUUGAGAUGAUCAUGCAAUUUUUGUCCUUGGUUCUAUUUAUGUGGUGUAUUACAUUUAUUGAUUUGCAUAUAUUGAAACAUCCUUUCAUCCCUGGAAUGAAACCAAUUUGAAUGUGGUGUAUGAUUUUUUAAUGAAUUCUAAAAUUUGACUUGCUAAUAUUUUAUUAAGGAUACUGCAUCUAUGUUAAUCAAGGAUUUGCAUCUAUAAUUUUCUUUCCUUGAAAUGUCCAUAUCUAGUUCUCAUAUCAAGGUUAUACUGGCUUCAUAGAAUGAGUUUGAAAGCAUUCACACCCUUUCUACUUCAUGGAAUAAUUUAAAGAGCAUUGAAGUUAGUUCUUCCUUAAAAAUGUGGUAAACUUCAGCUGUGAAUCCAUAUGAUCUUGGGCUUUUUUUUCUUGAGGGCUUUUUAUUACUGCUUGAAUCUCAUUGCUUGUUAUUGGUCUGUUCAGAUUUUCUGUAUCCUACUGGGUCAGCUUUUAAGGUCAUAUGUGCCUAGAAAUUAAUUUCUUCUAGAUUUUCCAGCCUAUUGGAAUAUGAAUUUUCAGAAUACUCUCUAGUGAUCCACUGGAUUUCAUUUUAUCUGUUAUAAUAUUUCAAUUUUUAUCUUUAACUUACUUAAUUUGGGUUUUCUCUUUCAUUUGAUUAAUUUAGCCAAGUGUUUUUCCAUCUUAUCUUUUGAAUGAACCAACUCUUUUGUUUCAUGAAUCCUUUGUAUUGCUUUACUAUUUCAUUAACUUAAGCUCUGAUAUUAUUUCUUCCCUUCUACUACUAGUUUUGGUAUUAGUUUGCUCUUGUUUCCCUAAGACUUUGAGAGAAUCAUUAGGUUAUUUAUUCAAGAUCUCUCUCUCUCUCUCUCUCUCUCUCUCGCAAUCAUAGCUAAUAACUGUUAGAAUACCAUUCACUGUAUUCUACAUAUUCUAGUGUAUUUUAUUUCCAUUUAGUUCCAAAACUUUUUUAUUUCUCCAUGAUUUCUACAAUGACUCACUCAUCAUUCAAAAGUGUAUUGUUUAGUCUCCAUGUAUUUGUAUAUUGUCUAAAGUUUGUCUUGCCAUCUAUUUCCAAUUUCAUUCCAUUAUGACCUGAAAAGAUGACAGAGAUUUUUUUCAAUGUUUUUGUGUUUGCUAAGAAUUGCUUUAUGAACUAAUAUAUAAUCAGCCUUGGAGAAAGUUCCAUGAGCAGAUGAAAAGAAAGUGUAUUCAGUUGUUGGAUAAAGUAUUCUAUAGAUGUCUGUUAAGUUCAUUUGAUCUAUAGUAUAGUUUAAAUAUGAUAUGUCCUUGUUGACUUUCUGUCUACAUGACCUGAUAGUGAAAGCAGAAUGUUGAAAUCACCCACUAUUUGGUCUUAUCUAUUGUUUAUUAUUUUUUUUUAGAGAGAGAGAGAGAGAGAGAAUUUUUUAAUAUUUAUUUUUUAGUUUUCGGCAGACACAACAUCUUUGUUUGUAUGUGGUGCUGAGGAUCGAACCCAGGCCGCACGCAUGCCAGGAGAGCGUGCUACCGCUUGAGCCACAUCCCCAGCCCCUUUAUCUAUCCUUUAUAUCAAGUAAUGUUUGUUUUAUAAAAAUUGGGUACAUUGAUAUUCAGGGCAAAAAUAUUUAUACUUGUUAUACCUUCUUGUUGGUUUGUAGUUUUUACCAGUACGUAGUGAGUUUCUUUGUCUCUUCUAACUAGUUUGGCCUGAAAUCAGUUUUGUCCAAUAGGUGUGCCUAUUCCCCCAUUCAUUCAGAUUCCAUUUUAAUGGAAUAUCUUUUCCAUCCUUUCACUUUCAGUCUGGGAAUGUUCUUGUACACGAGGGUGUGUUUCUUAGAGACAUCAUUCAGUUGGGUCUUUUUUUAAAAUCCAUUUUGUCAGUUUUUUCUUUUAUUUGGAGAAUUAGGACCAUUUACCUUCAGUGUUAUUAUAGAGGGGCAUGUAUUAUUUCAUAUAAUUUUCUUUUCUUUCUAAUGUUUGAAUCAUUCCUAAUUCUCAUGUGUUAAUUUUUAUAAUGUGAUUUAUUUUUCCCAUGCUAUCUUGAUUAUUUUUAUCUUCCUUUUCUGUUUGUUUGUAGGAUUCCUUUAAGUAUUUUCUGCAAUGCUGGCUUAGUGGUCAUAAAUUCUUCUAGUGUAUCCAUAUCUUGGAAGGUUUUCAUUUUUUUCUUAGAUUCUGAAGGAUAACUUUGCCAGAUAUGGUAAUCUAGGUUGGUGGUUGUUUUCCUUUGAGAUUUGAAAUACAUCAUUCUGUGCCCUCCUGGUCUUUAGAGUUUCUGCUGAAAAUCUGUUAUACCGAUUGGGUUUCCUUUAUAAGGGUCUUGGUGCUUCUCUCUUGUAGCUUUUAAAAUUUUUUCUUCAUUCAGAAUUUUUGCAUAGAGAGGAUUUUUUAUUGUCCUAUUUGGAACUCUAAAAGUCUCCAAUACCUCAUCUCAUUCCCACGAUUGGGGAUUUUUCUCCUAUUAUUUUACUGAAUAAGUUUUCUACACCAUUAAUGUGCAUCUUCUCUUCUUCCCUAAGAACUAUAAGUUUUAUGUUUGGCCUCUUAAUGUUAUACCAAAGCUGUUGUAUAUUCUGUUCAUAGUGUUCUAAUUUCCUCACCUAGUCUUUGAGCCCUGAAAUUCUUUCCUCUGUUUGGUUUGACUCUCCACUGAGUUUUUAAUUUGAUUGGAUUUUUCAUUUUCAGGAUUUCUGUUUGGUUCUUUUUCAGGAUCUUUGUCUCUUUAUUGAAAUGUUCUUUCAUAUCUUGUAUGUUCUCCCUUAGUUCAUUUCCUAGAUCUUCUUUUAAUUUAUUGAUCAUUUUAAAAAUAUUUAUUUUUAAAUUUUUUAUCUUAUUCAUCCUAGUUAGUUAUAUAUGACAGCAGAAUGCAAUUCAAUUCAUAUUACACAAAUACAGCACAAUUUUUCAUGUCUUUGGUUGAACACAAAGUAGACUCACACCAUUCGUGUUUUCAUACAUGUAUUUAGGGUAAUGAUGUCCAUCUCAUUCCACCAUCUUUCCUAUCCCUGGACUUCUUCUUCCCCUCCCUUCCCUUUACCUUAUCUAAAGUUCAUCUAUUCCUUUCAUGCUCCACCCCCCACCCCCAUUAUGAAUCAGUUUCCUGAUAUCAGAGAAGACAUUCAGCAUUUGGUUUUUUGGGAUUGGCUUACUUUACUUGGCACUAUAGUCUUCCUCUACAAAAAAAACUACAGAAUGCUAAAGAAGAAAUUAAAGAGGGCCUUAGAAGAUGGAAAGAUCUCCCUUGUUCUUGGAUAGGCAGAAUUAAUAUUGUAAAAAUGACCAUACUACCAAAAGCACUAUACAGAUUUAAUGCAAUUCCAAUCAAAAUCCCAAUUAUAUUCUUCAUAGAAAUAGAAAAAGCAGUCAUGAAAUUCAUCUGGAAAAAUGAGAGACCCAGAAUACCUAAAGCAAUCCUUAGCGAGAAGAGUGAAGCAGGUGACAUCACUAUACCAGAACUUAAACUAUACUACAGAGCUAUAGUAACAAAAACAGUAUGAUAUUGGCAUCAAAAUAGACUUGUAGACCAAUGGUACAGAAUACAGGACACAGAGACAAACCCACAUAAGUACAGGUAUCUUAUAUUAGACAACGGCACCAAAAACAUAUAUCGGAGAAAAUAUAGCCUCUUCAACAAAUGGUGCUAGGAAAACUGGAAAUCCAUAUGCAACAAAAUGAAAUUAAACCCCUAUCUCUCACCAUGCACAAAAAUCAAAGUGGGUCAAGGACCUUGGGAUUAAACCUGACACCCUGCACCUAAUAGAAAAAAAGUAGGCCUAAAUCUCCAUCAAGUCAGAUUAGGCCUCAACUUCCUUAAUAAGACUCCUAUAGCACAAGAGUCAAAAUCAAGAGCUUCUUAGCAAAAGAAACAAUCAGUGAUGUGAAUAGAGAGCCUACAGAAUGGGAGCAAAUUUUUACCACAUGCAUAUUAGAUAGAGCACUAAUCUCUGCAAUAUAUAAUAUUUAUUUUUAGUUGUAAUUGGACACAAUGCCUUUAAUUAAUCUAUUAAUUAAUUUAUUUUUAUGUGGUGCUAAUGAUCAAAUCCAGGGCCUUGCACAUGGUAGGCAAGUGCUCUACCACUGA